rnacentral:rRNA from 1 species
GGACCAAGGAGUCCAGCGAACGAGCGUGACGCAAAGGUUCAUUUAAUAGAAUCCGUCAAACUUAACGAAAGCAAUCGAGAGUCGCUUCGGCGGCUCAGGUUUGUAUGAUGAGGCGUUUUAUCACUAACGUCUAGGCAAAUCGGAGAUGGCAAUUACGCGUCAGCAAUGGCGCUGCCGUACUCGUAGCUCGUGCUCUGGAACCCGAAAGAUGGUGAACUAUGCAUGGAAAGGAUAAAGCCAGGGGAAACUCUGGUGGAGGUCCGCAAUGGUUCUGACGUGCAAAUCGAUCAUCAGAACUAUGUAUAGCGGCGAAAGACCAAUCGAACCAUCUAGUAGGUGGUUCCUUUCAAAGUUUCCCUAAGGAUAGAUGAGGUCUAGUAACGAUAGUCACAUGCGGUAAAGCGAAUGAUUAGAGUCGUUGGGUCCGAAACGUUCUCAAUCUAUUCUCAAACUGUUAAUGUGUGUGUUUUCCCUUAGCUAGUGUGCUACGUAGCAAGUGGAUAGAUAGUAAAGGCCAUUUUUGGUUAGCAGAACUGGCGAUGCGGGAUGAACAAAAGGCGGAUCCCACAAAAGGCGUUAGUAACUAAAGACAGCAGGACGGUGGCCAUGGAAGUCGGC